GUUGUGGUAAAAAAGGCCAUCUCAAGAAGGUGUGCAGUGAAAGAAAGUGCCGUUCACGGUUAAAUAACAUUACUCAGGUCGAGGCUGCUGAGGAUAGCUCAGGCAGCGAUUGCGACGAAUGCAAAAUGUUCAACAUGAGGUUUCCAAAUUAGACCGGAAGGAGUGUAAUGUAUGUAACUACGCGGGUACCUGCAAGUCAGUAAUAAACUACCGUUCGUUACGCA